rnacentral:rRNA from 1 species
UACGGAGGGUGCAAGCGUUGUCCGGAUUCAUUGGGUUUAAAGGGUGCGCAGGCGGGACAUUAAGUCAGGGGUGAAAGACGGUUGCUCAACAAUCGCAGUGCCUUUGAUACUGGUGUUCUUGGGUGACCUUGAGGUAGGCGGAAUGGGUGGUGUAGCGGUGAAAUGCAUAGAUAUCAGGAGGAACACCGAUGGCGAAGGCAGGUCUCUGGGCAUUAACUGACGCUGAGGAGCGAAAGCAUGGGGAGCGAACAGG